AUUGAACGCUGGCGGCAGGCCUAACACAUGCAAGUCGAGCGGCAGCGGGACCUUCGGGUUGCCGGCGAGCGGCGGACGGGUGAGUAAUGCCUAGGAAUCUGCCUGUUAGUGGGGGAUAACGCGGGGAAACUCGCGCUAAUACCGCAUACGUCCUACGGGAGAAAGCGGGGGCUCUUCGGACCUCGCGCUAACAGAUGAGCCUAGGUCGGAUUAGCUAGUUGGUGGGGUAAUGGCCCACCAAGGCGACGAUCCGUAACUGGUCUGAGAGGAUGAUCAGGCACACUGGAACUGAGACACGGUCCAGACGCCUACGGGAGGCAGCAGUGGGGAAUAUUGGACAAUGGGCGAAAGCCUGAUCCAGCCAUGCCGCGAGUGUGAAGAAGGUCUUCGGAUUGUAAAGCACUUUAAGUCGGGAGGAAGGGCUGUAGGCUAAUACCUUGCAGUUUUGACGUUACCGACAGAAUAAGCACCGGCUAACUUCGUGCCAGCCGCCGCGGUAA
rnacentral:rRNA from 1 species